GAGAAGGUAAUAGUUCUUCACUGCUCUGUGUUUCUUCAUAUUGUAAAUAUUCUUCCUAAACGUUCCUAGAUACUUGAAAAGUUAACCCAAUAUUGUUGUGGGUACAAGUGAUGUGUUGUUUUGAGUAAUUUUUAUGCACAAUUUCGAUUAUUUAGACGUAGAGCGUCGACUGUGUGAAUUGUUUGGUAGUAUUUACGCAUGGUAUUUACAUCACACAGGAGCAGAUAUCACUCCGCCAGAAAGUUGAGACCUGUGUGUGUGUGUUUCGUGUUUCCAACACAGGUAUGUGGAUUUGUGCAUUAUUAUUAUUUUGUGAGAAAACGUUUUUGUUUAUGUAAUUUAAUUUAUUAUUAUUUUUAUAUGAAUGAAUGAAUGUUACUUCCUCUUCCUUCGGACUUUUGAAUGAGAAGGAGCAGAUAUCACUCCGCCAGAAAGUUGAGACCUGUGUGUGUGUGUUUCGUGUUUCCAACACAGGUUUCCAAUAAAUACUGAACCGACGGCAUGGUGCUGUGAGAAAAAAUGUGGUGACAAGGUCAGCCACGGAAGCUGAGGUCACCAAACACGCGAUCAGGUGGUUCAACCUGGCGGCGGAUCGGGCAGCGAGGAGACGAUCAGGAGGAAUAGAAAUUUAUCAAUAAACAACCUUUUUUUGAA